UUUAUUGGAGAGUUUGAUCCUGGCUCAGGACGAACGCUGGCGGCGUGCCUAAUACAUGCAAGUCGAGCGGACUUGAGGGAGCUUGCUCCCGAUGGUCAGCGGCGGACGGGUGAGUAACACGUGGGCAACCUGCCUGUAAGACUGGGAUAACUCCGGGAAACCGGGGCUAAUACCGGAUAAUUCAUUCCCUCACAUGAGGGAAUGCUGAAAGACGGCUCCGGCUGUCACUUACAGAUGGGCCCGCGGCGCAUUAGCUAGUUGGUGAGGUAACGGCUCACCAAGGCCACGAUGCGUAGCCGACCUGAGAGGGUGAUCGGCCACACUGGGACUGAGACACGGCCCAGACUCCUACGGGAGGCAGCAGUAGGGAAUCUUCCGCAAUGGACGAAAGUCUGACGGAGCAACGCCGCGUGAGCGAAGAAGGCCUUCGGGUCGUAAAGCUCUGUUGUCAGGGAAGAACAAGUACCGGAGUAACUGC
rnacentral:rRNA from 2 species